GGCGGGAUGGAAAACCAGAGAGCCUGAUAAUCUGUGUGUCUCUGUGAAAAACUGGGAAAGAACUACACUGCAGGGACACAACCUCCAGGGGUUCCUGAGAGGCAGGCUGGGAAGGUUCACAGCUUAUGCAGCUAACUGGCCUGCUCAGAGUAGGAAAGAGCCAUCUUCCUUCGGUAGGAAGCUGUGGAACAUACUUGUUGCUAGAAAGAAUCAAGACUGUGCUGGGGCCUGGUGAGAUGGCUCAGUGGUUAUGGCACUCAGUGCCAAACCUGAUGGCCGGACUAUGUUCUCUGCAACCACCCUGGUGGAAGGCAGAACUGAAUCAGGCCAGCUGGGACUGCCACGCGCAUGUGUGCACACAACGGUAUAACUGUAAAGUCUCUAGAACAGCAGCUGGGAAUGGUGGUGCAUGCCUACAAUCUCAGUGCUUGGGAGGCUGGGCCAGCGUGAGAUCCUGCCUCAGAGUAAACAACCCUCAGAACUCAGCAUUAGCGGGAUGUGGGUGCACUGUGACAAUCAGGGCAGUGGUUUUAGUAGUCUGAGCUGUAGGAAGGCAUCCUUUAUCUUUUAGAAUUCUGAUUUCUUACUGCUCAAGAAAGAGGCUAGGAUUUAAUGAGCUUCCAGGGCUCUUCCCAUUUUAACUUCUGUCACUCCUCUGGAAGACCAUCUAGAGCCGGUCUAAUAACAUAGGUUACUCUGAGACCAAAGUUUGGACAUUGGCCAGAAUACAAAGCUUCAUGUGUUUAUGCCGUCUCCAGCC
rnacentral:lncRNA from 1 species